GAUUUCAACUUGAAAAAGACAUUAACAACAAAUUGUAUAACUCAUCAAGAUCUAUAACUUUUAUUUUUAUUAUUUCUUCAUCCGACAAAGUGAUAGUAACAUUGUUUAUAAAAUUUACAUAUCUCUCAUUUGGUUUUAUAAACUAUAAGAGAGAUGUAAAUUUUGUGAACAAUAUUACUAUCAUUUUAUCGGAUGAAGAAAUGACCAAAAUAAAAGUUGUAUGUCUUGAUGAGUUCUACAACUUUUAUGUUCAUGACUUUUUCAGCUGAAAUU
rnacentral:pre_miRNA from 1 species